AAUGGCUCAUUACAACAGCCACUGUUCACUUGAUCUGUACAUUAUCCUACUUGGAUAACUGUGGCAAUUCUAGAGCUAAUACACGCACACAUGUCCUGACCGCAAGGGACGGACGCAUUUAUUAGAACAAAACCAAUCGGGCCUUGUGCCUGUUCGUUUGUGACUCUGAAUAACUUUGCUGAUCGUACGGUCUUUGUACCGACGACGCAUCUUUCAAGUGUCUGCCUUAUCAACUUUCGAUGGUAGUUUCUGUGCCUACCAUGGUUGUAACGGGUAACGGAGAAUCAGGGUUCGACUCCGGAGAGGGAGCCUGAGAAACGGCUACCACAUCCAAGGAAGGCAGCAGGCGCGCAAAUUACCCACUCUCAGCGCGAGGAGGUAGUGACGAAAAAUAACGAGUCGGUUCUCUAUGAGGCCCGAUAUCGGAAUGGGUACAAUUUAAACCCUUUAACGAGGACCUAUGAGAGGGCAAGUCUGGUGCCAGCAGCCGCGGUAAUUCCAGCUCUCAAGGUGUAUAUCGCCAUUGCUGCGGUUAAAAAGCUCGUAGUUGGAUCUGCGCCUGUGGACGUGGUCCGCCCAAGUGGUGAGAACUGCGCUCCCGGGCUUAUCUGCCGGUUUUCGUGCGAUGCUCUUCAUCGGGUGUCGUGCGUGGCUGGCGAGUUUACUUUGAAGAAAUUAGAGUGCUCAAAACAGGCGUUUCGCCUGAAUAGUUGUGCAUGGAAUAAUGGAACAGGACCUCGGUCUGUUUUGUUGGUUUCGGAACUGAGAUAAUGGUUAAGAGGGACUGCUGGGGGCAUUCGUAUCGC
rnacentral:rRNA from 1 species